GAGAGAGAGGUCCUCCAUUCAUCAUUGAUCCACUGCAGGACUGUGUUUCAUGGGGGUGUGAAUUAUGGGCCCCUGUUGUCACUGUGCCUGCUCUGCGUUGGACGUUUCACCUCGCCACUGUAAAUUUAAAAAGGGGAUUAGAUUUUGCUGACAACUGAUUUCAAAGCCGCAGCUCGACCAAGUGCAGAAAACUGCACGGUACCUCUUGAAAGAAGACUUCAUACUGCCCCGCAAUUGCAGGAUUUGGGGAAUUUGCAAGGAUCGGAACAAACCUAACGGGACGCAAAACGCAUUCGAGAUCACAGAAACCUCAGUAGAUUUUACGCAAUUACACUACGGACUCUUUUCCUUCAGGGAGGAGAAAAAACCCCAAACGUUUAGUUGACUGGGCGUUUUGGACGCGCAGUGAUGCUACGGCGACGCACAACAGAGGGAAGGGACAGGUGAGGUGCGGCUGAGGAGCGCAAUUUUAGAGAGGUUUUGAAUACCCCCGAGCUGUGCUACUCAACCCCGGUUUCAUCAUAGAAAAGAAGAAGAUCGACCGGCGAGGGCGAGUUGGCGAUUGGCACCUGCCUCACCCUCCAAUACCUGGCCAUCUGGCGCGUGCAUCUGUGUUGCUGCCAUGGCAACUGUGGCUCCACCCCUCGCAUUUCUUCUCCUGCUGCUUCAACUGGCUGAUGGCUCAUUCCCAGAGGAACCCAGUCCACUCAGCUACGUCCCUGUGGAGGUGGUGAGGAGGUAUCCAGUGUUCCUGGGCCGAGCUCAUCGUUCAGCACAAAGACAGGAGCUGCACAUCCAGACGGUCCUCCAAGUCAACCGCACGCUGUACAUAGG